rnacentral:rRNA from 1 species
CUACGGGUCGCACCAGUGGGGAAUAUUGCACAAUGGGCGCAAGCCUGAUGCAGCCAUGCCGCGUGUAUGAAGAAGGCCUUCGGGUUGUAAAGUACUUUCAGCGGGGAGGAAGGGAGUAAAGUUAAUACCUUUGCUCAUUGACGUUACCCGCAGAAGAAGCACCGGCUAACUCCGUGCCAGCAGCCGCGGUAAUACGGAGGGUGCAAGCGUUAAUCGGAAUUACUGGGCGUAAAGCGCACGCAGGCGGUUUGUUAAGUCAGAUGUGAAAUCCCCGGGCUCAACCUGGGAACUGCAUCCGAUACUGGCAAGCUUGAGUCUCGUAGAGGGGGGUAGAAUUCCAGGUGUAGCGGUGAGAUGCGUAGAGAUCUGGAGGAAUACCGGUGGCGAAGGCGGCCCCCUGGACGAAGACUGACGCUCAGGUGCGAAAGUGUGGGGAGCAAACAGGAUUAGAUACCCUUGUAGUC